rnacentral:miRNA from 1 species
UAAAGCUGGUUUAUCGAGGCA